GCUGGGUGUGGUGGUGCACACCCGUAAUCCCAGCUACUUGGGAGGCUGAGGUGGGAGGAUCGCUUGAGCCCGGGAGCCGGAGGUUGUAGUGAGCUGAGAUUCAGCCACUGCACUCCAGCCUGGGUGAAAGAGCGAGACCCUGUCUCAA
rfam:Pan troglodytes isolate Yerkes chimp pedigree #C0471 (Clint) chromosome 11, whole genome shotgun sequence.